GAUGAAGAACGCAGCGAAAUGCGAUACGUAAUGUGAAUUGCAAAUUCAGUGAAUCAUCGAGUCUUUGAACGCACAUUGCGCCCCCUGGUAUUCCGGGGGGCAUGCCUGUCCGAGCGUCAUUGCUGCCCUCAAGCACGGCUUGUGUGUUGGGCCCCGUCCUCCGAUCCCGGGGGACGGGCCCGAAAGGCAGCGGCGGCACCGCGUCCGGUCCUCGAGCGUAUGGGGCUUUGUCACCCGCUCUGUAGGCCCGGCCGGCGCUUGCCGAUCAACCCAAAUUUUUUAUCCAGGUUGACCUCGGAUCAGGUAGGGAUACCCGCUGAACUUAAGCAUAUCAAAAGCGGAGGA
rnacentral:misc_RNA from 1 species